rnacentral:misc_RNA from 1 species
UUGAUGAGGAUGGCCAGAAACCAAUACAGGUUGCUGCAACAAGAGGCAAUCGUGCAGCUGUUGAGAUCCUUUUUCCCUUGACAUCAGAAGUUCAAACUAUCCCCGAGUGGACUGUUGAUGGAAUUCUUGGAUACAUGCAAUCUGAAACUAACAAACAACUGGAAGAAAUGAGGAAUCUGAGGGAAGUUAUUGCUACAGAGGGCAAUUCAGUACCCAAGAAUGAUCUCCCUGAGGUAUCACUUGAAGCAAAGAGGAGAGCUGCAGAAGCAAAAUCAAGAGGAGAUGAUGCUUUCAGAAGAAAGGAUUAUCGUAUGGCUGUGGAUGCUUAUACACAGGCAAUUGAUCUAGACCAUACUGAUGCCACUUUGCUUUCAAAUAGAAGCCUUUGUUGGGUACGCUUGGGACAACCUGAGCAUGCAUUAACUGAUGCAAAGGCUUGCAGAGCAUUAAGACCAGAUUGGUCAAAAGCUUGCUAUCGGGAAGGUGCAGCUCUGCGUUUAUUGCAGAGGUUCGAUGAAGCAGCAAAUUCAUUUUAUGAGGGUGUGAGGCUUGACCCUGAAAAUAAGGAGCUUGUGUCGGCAUUUAGGGAAGCUGUUGAAGCUGGGAGAAAGUUUCAUGGUACAGAUGAAGGAAAAUC